AGGAGUAAAAUAAACAUGUACCAGAACAGCACACACAGACACACACAUAUGAUAAAAAGUCUGGUCUUUCACCUAAUUUAGACCAGAAAAUUGGCAUCCGAUUUUAUUGUUCAGACCGACUCCAAGAACACAAACAUAUUUUUUCCCUUCAAAACAAGAACUGCCAAAAUAUAAAGAAUGAUAUCUGCUGGUUUGAACUAAUUGGGAUUAACUGUUUCCUGGCUGCUUUGUGUGGAACAAGUGCUAUUUUACUCAGCUGAUAGCAGCAGCAGUACCAUGGCUGACUUAAGGAAAUGGGUGGUGCGAGGGUCCUUGCAGCCUGUGGCUGUACCCAGCAAUGGGAUCUAUGCAGGAGGGACUUUCUGACCUGUUUUUAAACACCUUUGGGUGUUUAAAACAGGAAUAGUCUGUUCCCAAAGUCUCAGCCCUAGGAUGCUGCUUGCCCAUCUCCCAUUGCAGUGUGGAGAGGCGAGUUUGGAGCUGCCAAGCCAGACAGGGGAGCGUGGCAGUGAAAAUACUGAGCUUUCAGCAAUUUGGUUCCAUUUUAAUUAGCAUUUUCUGUGCACUUUCUGAUUCCCCAUUUUCUCGUCCAGCUGGUGAGACUGUUUGUAUUUCUGGAAGUGUUUCUGAAAGGCAGGGAAAAAAGCCUAAUCCUAUCAAGAACCCAAGUACUUAAUUAAAAUCAUUGGGAUUAGAAUAACAUUGAAAUUAAGAGUUGUGUCUGUUUGUCUUCCAGGGUUUAGGAUCCGUGUUUUCAAGCCUUUUGCUGUAAACAGGAGCCCUGGAAAUUUAUCUUGAGGUUUCAAAAUAGCCAAAUGUUGUAAAACUUGCCAGAAGGACUGAGGGAGCUGGGAAAACUGGCCUUGCAAGAGGAUGCAAUGAAGGAGCAACAGAGCCUGUGGCUCUGUUCGGGAAGUUGAAAUAGGUGUAGGAAAAACAACCUCAAAAGCAUGUUCUGUAAGGGCUGAUCUGAAGAACCACACUAAAAAAGCCACGUGUAAGGCAUGGCAUGUUGUAUGGAGGAGCCAUGCAGCUUAUUUUUAGCACCAUUUCCUGGCACCUUGUGUAUUAACUACUUCCAGACCGAGCGCAUCGGACAGGGAUGGUCGGAGUCGCUGGAAUUCGUGUGCUGAUUGUGCACAGCAUGUGUGUGACAGGGCGGCUGAUACAACUGCAGAGCAGAAGUGAAGAAGGAAGAGGAGUAUAUUUGAUGCAGCUCCCAGGGGACCUCUUGAGGCAGAGAUGCCUGAGCACUGCGGUAUGCCACUUGCCCAGAUGUUUACACCAAAGCAAACCUGGAGACAAGCUGUUCCUGGGAGUAGCCCACAUGGACCAGCACGCGAAAGCAUCCCCAGGGAUGCUGCAUGGGGCCACCGGCUCUACUAGCCUUCUGUCCCCAUCAGCUGGUGUGCUGCAGGCACUGUCCCUGGGGAGUCAUGGUGGACCAGGCCACCGGGCUGGAGAGGUCCUGUGUGUUCAGGGGGUCACAUCAGCGGAUAAUACUUUCUGUAUGAAUAGCUAAUCUCUUGUCAGGGUGUCCCUCAGGCUAGAUAUAUGCCAAAGACCUGAGCUGGCCCCCAAGAAAAUAGAUAAGACAGAUGCCAAACAGAAGUGGAGAUCUGGUGGCUUUGCUUAUUCUCAUGUUUCAUUAAAGCUUUCAGCAAUGCUGUAAAGGGCUGAUGCUCUCCCUCCUUCUCACAGGCAGAGCAUGCGUGAGGGCCUCAGACCAUCAUUUCCUCAUAGAAUUGGUUAUAUUUGAUUUAUUCAAUACUAUGCCAAGUUUGUGAGAGAAGACGUAAAGUGCUGGGGGAGGAGGAACCUUCUAGGAAUAACAUUUCCUUGGAUGACCUUCAGGAAUACAUUGAAGGAGCUGCGCAAGAAGAGGAGGGAAGGAUAGGGGAACCCUCUUCUUUAAGGAAAAUGGACGUUUUCAUGGAGCUGUGGGUAUUUGUCUUUCCCAACAGAUCCCAUUUUGGUGGGUCCCACAGGAAGAGAUCUUCCUUUCCCUGCCAGUCUGCUUUUGCUGCUAGGUCAUUGAGGAAACCACUAAACCAGCUGAGAGAACAUUGAUUUUGGGUUGCUGCUUUGUUUGUUUAAUGAUAUAGUCUACUGUGAAAAUCUGGGGCAAAUUAAGGAAAAACAAAGCAAAGAUUUUUCUUGGGAGGAAAAGAAGAAAAUCAACCUCAGAAACCCACAAUUGUGUUUCAUAACUUGAUGGAGAGGAAGAAGCAAGCACAUGGACAGCCCUGACAACCACCUGCAUGAGACUCCCUAAUUCCUAGGUCUAGAAAAUAAGUGAUCCCACAAAAAGACCCCUGGCAAGAUGUCAGGAGCUCCCAAACCAUGAAAAGAAGUUAUGCAUUUUUCCCCCCCUUUGCUAAUUUUGCCUCCCUUAAGGCUUCCUUUGAUUCACCCUCCUUGCUGUGAUUUUCCCAUCUGAUUGCAGAGGUGAUGAGGGAGAUUCCCAGUCCCCAGCAUCCUCACACCUGGCUCUGAUUUCCCUAUAAUUGAUGAUGUGCCAAGUGUCGAAGGUCUGACUCCAAUUUGGGUGUCAAAUGGGGAGAGGUGGCUCGUGAAAGAUGGUCAGCUCUGGGGCAGGGCUCAGCUGCCAGUUUACAGGCACUUAAAGCUUGUACAAGUAGUAGGUUAGGGAGCUGCGAAUGUGGACCAUGGGCAAAGGGAGAGGCUGGGCUUGCAGGGGAUGCCUUGGCUAAAGGGAUGGAGGCAGUGGGUGAGAGCUGGGAAAGCCUCCCUGCAUGGCUGCAUGGCUUUGGUGGCUGUAGGACCCUGUCUCCAAAGAGAAAUAUAAAGGCUUUGCUAUCCUGCAUCAAUCCUGGCAGCCAUGCACAUGGUUCAGAAGCAGCAGCUUUUCUUCUGAUUUCUAUCCCUGCUUCUGAUUUGCUCUGUCACCUCAGGCAAAUCAUUUAACCCCAGCUUCAACCUAUUUUACGGGGAUGUUGCAAGGCUUAAUUAAGGCUUGUAAAAGGUCUUGAGUUCCUGAAAGGUGCCUGCUGGAUUAGGGUGAUUAAUCACAUGUUGAUGGGAGAGAGAUUGUGGGGGUAAAUCCUAGCAGUGAACAAUAGGGCAGAUGAUAUUUUUCCCUGGCGGAAUAAGACAAGGGGGUUGUAAAAGCAUGCAUGUAUCAGAUUUAUUCAUUCUGGAUAUCAAGUGGUUGAAGCUGUAGGGAGGCUCUGCGGCCAAAACCACAGAAAUCUGACUGCGUGGCUGAGAUAAAGACAUUCCGAACUUGUGCAGAAAUCGGUCAAAGAUGCAUAAAUUAGGGUGUUUUCCCCCAAACUUCAGAGUCAAAAAGGCAAACAAUUUGUAAAUCUUGAUGUUUGAGGAAUAAAUGUUUGGUGCUUCCUCUGAACGCCAUCCUAACGCUCUGAAAACAUCCCCCUGUUAGUAUUCAUUGCUGUAGAGCAAAAGGGAAGAUUAUUCCAAGGAGGAGGAGGAAAAAAUCCCUGCACCUUGUGCUGAGCUUUAUGCAUUUCUUCGCAUGAUUGCCCAAUUGCCCUUCCAUGUGGAAAAGGAGAGGGAGGGGGGAAAUGCUGGGCUCUGUGCAGUUAUUUGCAAGAUGACCCAGUUCUCCUUCUUUGUGGAAGAAACAGAGAAGGAAAACUCGCCUGCUGAACUCUGUGCAGUGGUUUUUGGCUUAUUUGUUUUUUGACCCAGUUCUUUUCUCCUAGAACUCCAUCUCCUUCAAUAGGCUGGCCCCUAAUUUACACCAGCAUCCUGAAAAGGAGCUGGCGCUUGGAAAGCAAACCAGGCAAAGGCUGAACAGGCUUUGAUCCGCUUUGAAUUCAGCAGGCUUUGCCCCAGCAGUUGAUGGUUUCAAAGGGACGGGCCCUGCGCUGGGCUGGAUCUGCAGGGAUUUGCCUUUGAAUAGCAAGGAGGGCUCUCCAUGGCCCCGGUGACUGGAAGGAAUGCGGCGAGCCCUUGCGCAUGCAAACAAGGGUGAUUUCAUUCGCUUUUCAGAGGCAGAGCAUAAAUCAAUAUUGUUUUGUAGAUCGCUUGGCUUGCCACAUUUUUUUCCUUGGGGAACAUCCAGUAUCCAUGUACUAUGGGGAAGGACACUGCAGGGGAGAGGGGAUGGCUGUGCCCUCUGUUUUCACCUCAAUAUCCAGCUCAGUGAAAACUGGAUUUUAUUCUUCCAGGGAACUAAACAGAGCCAGCCAAAACCAGAGAUUAUCAUCACUAAGGAAUCCUGCCUGGGGAGCUUCCACCAACGAGGAGAGCAGUUAGUUUGAGAUGUUUUUAAGCAUUUUUUUACAGCAUGGCAGUUUUAGUUGAGCUAAAUGAAGCUUAGUGCAGUGGGGAAUUCAGCGUGCACAUGUUUAAAAAUCUUUUAAGAUUGGCUAUUUAACUCCAGCAAAUAAUCAAGUCCCAGGAACAAUUUAGAUGAGUAAUAUAUUAAAAACAGGCUUAUACAGAUCCAAGAAAAACGUUGGAGGAUCCAUAGGGGUCAUUGUUAUGCACUGCAGGCUUAAAUAUAUUGACUUUUACAACUGCAAAUGGAUGGUUGCAUAGUGGUUUCCACCGAAGAGCAGUUUCAGUUGUGAUAACUCAUACAAAGUGAAAUUCAGUCUUGUGCUUGGAGCCGGCAUGAGGUCUAAGAACUGAGUGAACUUAAUCUUUAUCUCUCUACAAACAUUACAUCUCUUUAAUCCUUGAGGCAUGCCAUUCCUGGGAGGACCCUGCAGAAAGGAUGCAACAGAGCAGGGCAGGAAUCAGAUUUGUUAUUUAUGGAAAAAAUCUGAAAUCAGAGAAAACACAUUCUGGAAUUACAGGAAAGAAAACAUUUUCCAAAGGGGAAGAAUAUCUCAAAAACAAAAAUAAACUGAUUUUUUUCACUGAUGAAAGUGUUUUUCCCUUCUCAGAAAUUAUAUCAUUGUAUUGCAAGCAAAAGAGAAAGUUGCGGUGUUCCAGUCAGAGUAAUGUCAACUCUUCCAUUUCGGGAAAAUCUUUUUGCAGAGGGGAUUUCUUUUUGACAGAACAAGUAUGAAUCUUACAGAUUUUGAUAGAAAACUGUUUCUUUUCCAGUGGGGGGAGAACACCCAAACAACUUCCUUCUCGAAAAACCUCUUUGUUAAACCCAGAGUGCCUACAGGAGUUUGAGAUUUAAAAAAACAGUGUUGAUGAAACUGGGUUUCCAUUGGCACCAGGACCUAAACACUCAGCAAAGAAACCAGCAUGGGAGCUGUAAUCAGCAUGUGAAGAACAGCCCCCGGCACAGCCAGAUCCCCUGAAGACUGCUGAAUAGUUACAUUUCUGUAAUGCUUCCUCCUAUGACGCGGUGUGACAGCAGAUAUUUCCUCCCUCAAGAUGAAUUUGUCAUUAACAAAGCCAGGAGAGGUGACAGUGGCAAAAGCAGGGCUUGUAAUCACCUUCAGUAGCAAGAUAUUUUGCAGGAACACAAACAUCUGAAGGAAAAUAUUUUGCUUUAUUCCCAAAUAUUCAUUUCUGGUCCAUUGGAAGAGCUAUAUAGUUUACUAAUGAGGGAAUUGGGAGCCAUGAGCUGUAAUCCUUGGCUGAGUGAAGCAAUGUGCUCAUUACAGCUGUCAAUCAUCUCCCUCCUGUCUCCUAUUUCUGAUCUGUAAAUUGAGGUUAAUACCCUCUAUACACCAAAGGUGCAGGGAGGAUUAAUUAGACAGCAUCUCUAACACUGCAGUCUUCUCUUCGGGCAAUGGAUGGAGCUCCUGAAGAGACUGAAAUGGCUCAUUGGAAAGCUGUGUUCUAUUGCAAACCUGAAUGUGGGUGCUUCGGUUCUGAAUCACUGAGAUAUUUUUGUUUUCAUCUGAAAAUUACCAAUAUGAAACAAAUGUUUCUGGCACAAGGGGAACAGGAGGGAAAACUGACCUUUAAAAGGUGUUUACAGGUUUACCUGUGAAGGGAAGCAGGGAGAUUUUUCUUAGUGAAGAAAAAAAUCCUAACUCCAGCAUCCCAAAUACUUGGCAGCAGCAUAAUCAUGACUUUAAUAGAGCUCUUGGUUUUCCUGUUACAAUAAAUGAGGUCUGCUCUCUGUUAAAAACAAAGCAAAGGGGAAGCAAACAACCCACAACCCCAACCCUUGUAGGUGUCCAGGGAAAUGGCUUCACUAUUGGGCAUAUCUCAAAACCUAUCCAGGAACUGUGUGUUCUCCAACGGAUUAAAUUUACCCACCAGUCACUUGUUGGGCUACAUUAGCAAACAAAACAAACUGGCUGACAGUUUGUGCUGUACUGCACAGCAAAAAACCACCACUCCCAAUGGCUUUUCCAAUUCCAGGCAUGGAGCAGGCAACUUAACUACUUAUUGACUCAGCUCUGCUCACCCAGAAAGGACCCAACCUGAUGGAUGGCUCCUGACCUCUCCUCUACGCAUGGCCACCAGCCAGACUGCCACUUGGGUGUCUUCUGCACAGGGAGAUACAAACCUCCCAUCUGGCAAGACUCCAGCCCUAUUUUUGUUCCAUACCAUGGUAAGAAAUACUACACUUCCCUGAAUGGAUGACCUCGAAGCCACACGUGGGUUAAAUAGAGGCAUAAAUUAUCUGGACUUGCAGCCAUGAAACCAUUCUCUGGGAGGAAAGGGUAAAUAAACAAAUCAUUUAUUAGCAAGUAAAA